rnacentral:rRNA from 1 species
CAGCAGCCGCGGGAAUACGUAGGGCGCAAGCGUUGUCCGGAAUUAUUGGGCGUAAAGAGCUCGUAGGCGGUUUGUCGCGUCUGCUGUGAAAACUCGAGGCUCAACCUCGGGCCUGCAGUGGGUACGGGCAGACUAGAGUGCGGUAGGGGAGACUGGAAUUCCUGGUGUAGCGGUGGAAUGCGCAGAUAUCAGGAGGAACACCGAUGGCGAAGGCAGGUCUCUGGGCCGCAACUGACGCUGAGGAGCGAAAGCAUGGGGAGCGAACAGGAUUAGAUACCCCAGUAGUCCCUGUCUCUUAUAC